rnacentral:misc_RNA from 1 species
CUGCGCACAAUACACCACCUGAGUCAUAUACGGUACUCCAGCGCAUCGGUUGGUGUCUCUCCGUGCUGCAUUGCUUUCUUCCUCCCCCUCCUCGUUGCUCCUUUCCCCCCUUCUUUCGCGCCCUCCCUCGUGCGCACGCCCACACCCCUUCUCUGUAGCGCCAGGCAUCCUUUCCUCCCUACUCACAGAGAGGCUCGGAAAGGCAGAGGUGGGGAGGGAGGAGACUCAACGCAAUCUCUGUUGCCCCCCCCCCCCGACGUGCAUCACCGCCCUUUGGGAAGUUCACCGACGCACCUUUUCGUGUGGGUGCGGGGCAUUUUCCCUUUUGGUGUUGUGGUGACUCUCUCACAUCUGACUCGCCAGUGUACAUUAUAUCCCUUUCCUCACUCUCUUGUCUUGCGUGCGUCUGUCUGUCUCCACCCACCCCACCCACACCGAUCGCACCAGCACGUCCUCUCUUCACUCAUCGUUUUCUUCACGGCCUCGCCCACCGGACGGGUGAGUCGGAUGCUGCUCUCUUGGGCCGCCCCUCUCCUGCAUAUCCCAUCUUCGUCGCCUGCCUUUGUGCUGGACUGGAACUCUGCCCAG